UACGUAGGGGGCGAGCGUUGUCCGGAUUCAUUGGGCGUAAAGAGCUCGUAGGCGGUUCGGUAAGUCGGGUGUGAAAUCUCCGUGCUCAACACGGAGCGGCCACCUGAUACUGCCGUGACUCGAGUCCGGUAGGGGAGUGUGGAAUUCCCGGUGUAGCGGUGAAAUGCGCAGAUAUCGGAAGGAACAUCAGUGGCGAAAGCGACUUCCUGGACCAGUACCGACGUUCAGGCACGAAAGCGUGGGGAGCAAACAGG
rnacentral:rRNA from 1 species